rnacentral:rRNA from 1 species
GACGAACGCUGGCGGCGUGCUUAACACAUGCAAAUCGAACGAAGUGGCGAACGGGUGAGUAACGCGUAAUCAACCUGCCCUUCAGAGGGGGACAACAGUUGGAAACGACUGCUAAUACCGCAUACUGAAGGAGGGGAUUGCGUCUGAUUAGGUAGUUGGUGAGGUAAAGGCUCACCAAGCCGACGAUCUCUAGCUGGUCUGAGAGGAUGACCAGCCACACUGGGACUGAGACACGGCCCAGACUCCUACGGGAGGCAGCAGUGGGGAAUUUUGGACAAUGGGCGCAAGCCUGAUCCAGCCAUGCCGCGUGUCUGAAGAAGGCCUUCGGGUUGUAAAGGACUUUUGUCAGGGAAGCGGUACCUGAAGAAUAAGCACCGGCUAACUACGUGCCAGCAGCCGCGGUAAUAC